rnacentral:tRNA from 1 species
GUUGAAGUGGCUGAGAAUUAGAGGCAUCGGUCUGUAAAACCGAUUACGGAUAUUUCCCUUCAAUA